ACCAACUGGUUAAAGAGAGAGACCAACUGGUUCAAACGAAAGACCAACUGGCUGAAGAGAGAGACCAACUGGUUCAAACGAAAGACCAACUGGUUGAAGAGAGAGACCAACUGGUUGUCUAUAGCGACCAACUAGCAAUUGACAACGGCUUUAAAAACGAGAAGCUCAUCAAACAACAAAAUCAGAUAAAGGAACUUGAAAUGUGUGAGUUAGUUUUCUUUUUUGAAACCUGUAUUAAUUCAUAUAUUUUUAGGGUUGGCAAUGUCAUUCAGUCAGUCCACCACUUUGGUCCAGACUAAAAUAUAUCGAUAUAUACUGAAUGGAUUGCCAUGACAUUUUCAUCAGGCAUUCAUGGUCUACAGGGGAAGAACCCCUCUGACUUUGGUGGUCCCCUGACUUUUCCUGUAACGCAACCAGCAAAGAUUUCUCUUAUCCUGUAAAAUAUCUCAACAACUACCUGAAGGAUUGGCACCACAUUUUGUCCAGACAUGUCAUGGUUCCCAGACAAAGACUUUUUGUGAUCCCCUGACUUUUCAUCAUUGUGUCUUGUUUCUCUUCUAUCUUUUCAUCUCCUCUCCUGUCCUGUCCCGUUUUCUGUUAUGUCCUGUCUUGUCGUACCCUGAUCAGUUCUGUCCUGACUUGUUCUGUUUUGCUGUGACCACAUCUUGAACUGUCUUUACUCUUACCGUUCUGCCCUGUGUUGUCCUCUACUCUCCUGUGUUGUACUUUUGUUUCUUGUUUUCUGUCCCAUCUUGUCCAACCUUGACUUGCCCGUUCCGGCCCCAUCUUGCCCUGAUAUGUCCUGUCCUGUGCUUGUUUCUGAGCAGACCAACAACCCAAAAGUUGUCCCCCAGGAUGGCAUACAUACAUGUCCACCUGUUACCAGCUUUCCUCUACGACAGGCACCUGGGACAAUGCCGUAGAUGACUGUGAAAGCAAGGGAUCCCACUUGGUGAUCUUGAAUGAUGAAAGGGAAGAGGAAAAUGUCCGUAUAUUUGGAUGUUCUGUCAAAAUGUGGAUUGGCUUGGCUGGUCAGAGGUCAUCCAACUCGUGGACGUUUUCAUUGGUAGAUGGACGCCCACCGUCUUAUACUAACUGGAACAAUAGGAACCCAGCGUAUUGGAGCCAUUCCCUUUACAGAUGUGCCUAUGUUGCCAAAGGCUCAUCUACCUGGAAGACCUGGUUCCUGGGCGCCUGUUACCAACUAAACUAUUGGAUGUGUGAGAUGAGACUGCACACCAACUCUGCCUUGCCUCGAUAAGACUCACACAACACCGCAGGGAGGUUCAGAAUAGUUGUCUUACUAAUUAUGAUUGGAGCAAAGGAGUAAGUCAGGUGACGUUGUAUAAAGAGUGAUAACGUCGCAUACGGAGGAGGUUGGGGUGGAUUUAUGGGUCACACAAAAACAGGACUUUCACCCAGAAGACCACUGUUCUGUGUGAAGCAAUUCAAAUGUUAAUGGCAACAACCAUUUAAAGGUACAGCGUGUAGCAUUCAGGGGGAUCGAUUAGCAGAAAUGGAAUAUAAUAUUAUUUAGUAAGUUUUCUUUAGUUUAUAAUGACCUGAAAAUAAGAAUCCUUGUGUUUUUGUUACCUUAAAAUGAGACAUACGGAGUGGGUCCUCUUCACUGAGCCGGCCGCCAUGUUUCUACAGUAGCCCAGAACGAACAAACCAAACACCGGCUCUGGAUAGGGCCGUUUGAGUUUCCGUGUUUUCAUGUCGUCCACUGUAGUUCCCCUACAGCAGGGGUGUCAAACUCAAUCACAGAUAAAAUUAAAUAUUGGGACUACGUUGAGGGCCAAAUAGGGUCAAAAUUUAAUAAAUAGGACAUAAUGGAUAUUGGAGAAAACAAAUAGGCUACAUUCUGUACCAGAGAUGUUUGGCUUUUUUUUGGCUGCCAGUUCAUUAAUGUGUGGGAAGGCAGGUAACAGGCAGCCUGCCAUUAGGACCCCGGCAACAGGGGGCAGAGUCUAUAAAAAGGGGGAGGGGGGUUCACCUGGGCCUUUCCUCCUGAACCCAGACACACCUGAGGGAGCAGCUGAGGCCAGCUACCUGUUUGGUGGGCUCUCGUUCUUUCCUUUUAUAAAUGUGUUUAAAAGCAUGAUUUUAAGCGUGAAAUUGGAGAAACAAUGUGAGAUGUUUGUGAGAUAAUGGUUAAACAUGUGUUAUCUGCUAGAUUGAUGUUUGGUGAGGGACUAAAACUUGGAGUGAUUGCUUCGGCACAUCAGCCAAGAAGAAAGGUGCGCUGAAGCAGAACUAACAUGUUUUUACACAGGUUUAGUCCCCUUAACACAAUAUGAACAUGGUUGUUAUGAAUGUAGAUUCUAGUCACCGGCAUGUCUUCAACUGGGAGAGGGGACGGUGUCCAGUCUAGAAAGGUAGAUUAUUUACGUUGCAUGUUUGAUCAAAUGUUUGUGUGACGGUUCCCUUUUGUUUAAUGUAUUGUUUCUUUUUAGUUUUAAAUAAAGACACUCGAGCAGCCAACCAUUGUUUUUCCCAUACUUAUUAGAUUUAGUGUGCCUUUUAAACAAAUCUAUUGAAUGGGCCAUUUUCUGUUUAUUUUCUUUGUGCUGUGCUGAAGGGGACCAAGUGGUAGAGUUGGCAUCUUACAUGCAGAUCUGAUUGUGUGGGUUGAGUCACCUUAGCGUGCAGUGGUUUAGUUAUAAUUUGCCUACAUGUUUUGUGACAAAUUCCUUUAUUUCCACCUAACUCUACACUGACCUCCCUGAUGGUGUUUGUUUCUUUUCUUGUUCAUUUGUUUUGAUUUAUGAAUUGAUUUUAAAGCCGAGUCUUUUAAUUAAGCCGUGCAUUGUUAAUAAAAUCUAUAUUUUCAGUAUCGCAGUCUCUAGUUCCAGUUUAUUCAGGGUCUUGUGCAUUAAGUAUCACCGGGUCAC